UGGAUCUUGAGUCCCUUUCUGCGCUGAAGGCACCACUAGAUUAACCCCUUGCUGGUGUGGUUUGCAUGUGGGACGCGCGGCUCUGGGUUGCGAAUAUGCAGGAGAUGGUUUUUGCAGCCACUGUUCAAUUGUUCGCAAAGAGGAAUAACGCUUUCUGGGAACCGCAGUCACACUCUCUUUAGGACCGCCUGCCUGAAGAGUUUUUCCCCCUGGAAUUGAUGUAACGAUUGAUUGAUUUCUUACUUCUAUAAAGACUGGGGGACCCGCCCUCACUUAGAAUCUUUUUCCGAAGAGAAUGGGAGAGCGCAGUGUGAUGUUUUUCAAAUUGUGUCUAACGGAGCUCCCAAAACACCGGACUUGUUACCCCCUGAUUGGCUGGAAGGAAGCGGGACUGGGGGGUUUGAAUGUUGAACACCAGAUUACAAUUCUGGACUUUCCGAAAAAUUGUACUCUUAGAAAACCACGGAAAUAGUUACGAAACAUUAAGACAGGGAGUUAAAAAAAAAAAAAGCUGGUGUUUAAUCUUUUUUUUCUUUCAUAAAGGGCUUUCGAGUGGUUCUGAUGUAUAUUAAAAGUAAAACUGAGGAGGCAAUUUUCGCAAAAUUGUAAUUCUGCUGGCUGAAAUUACAAGACUUUCGUAUAUUUGUCCCUGUUCUCUGUUGGUUAAAAACUGAGUGUAGGAUUUAGAUUUUUUAUUCCUUUGACAGAAAUUUUUCAUAUUAAGCUACAUAUAUUUGUUAGAUGCAGAUUACGGGAGAAUUGUUUUAUUUUGACGAAAAGAGACUUUAAUUUCCUUAAUAUUAAGAUUGAGCUUUUCCACAUUUUCCAUAAAAAAUGAAUAUGUUUUAAAAGCUUUUCACAUCUAAUUUGAAAUAUGUAGGUUUUGUUAAUUCAGCCAUUGCAGUGGACUUAAAACUUUAUUUACAAGAAAUUUAUCUUGCUUAAUUUAGACAAUACAACAGGUUUUGACCUUUAGGAGAGAGCCAAUUCUGGAGAACAACCUAACUUCUUUGAUUGAACACUCACAUAAUGCAUUGGAACAUGAUAGGAGAUUAAGGAAAAAGAUUUACACGUUAAGCGACGGGAGAAUGGCAAAUUAUGACAUAGUCAUGAUGAACUGUUUAUUAUACUGCUGUUAAAGUGAGAGUUAUGUCUAUCAUCGUGGAUGAAUGUCUUCAAACAAAAACAAGUUGCAAAAGGUUUAAUAAUGAUAAAAUGAAGACCAUAAUAAAACAGCCCCCUACUUAGCCCAGCAAUUCUUACUUUGCUAAACAUACCCAAGUCCUUCCACUGGUUCUCAUAGUAUGAAUUCUAGACCAUCAGUAUCCUUGAUAUUCCACUUUGGAUCUGCUACAUUUUGUCAGUAUUCUUUUUAAAAUAUUGUGUAUAGAACCGAACCCAAUAUACUCAGUGUGGUCUGAGGUACAAAAUACAGUGCAUCUCUUAUGAAUAAGAUACUUCUGUUAAUGCAACCUGAUUCCACUAACUUUGUCAUCAGCACUGUUGUUUCACCUUUAAUUGCAGUCCACUGAAACCCUAAGUUUAUCAGAAGUGUGUUUCAAAUCCUAGUAUAAAUUUAGAUUUGGCAGGCAUUUUUUGAAUACCUAUUCACUACUAGAUAUGCUUAUAAAAGUUUAAGAUUGUACAUACAAUCUUAACAACAGGGCUAUGAUAAAGACAUUAAUAGGCCCAUUUCACAAAGAGGAAACUGAGGCUCCGUGUACUAAAAUAACUUACUCAGGGGCCAGCCCAGUGGUAUAGUGGUUAAGUUCACACACUCUGCUUCAGCAGCCCAGGGUUGGCGGGUUCGGAUCCCAAGUGCAGAUGUACACACCACCCAUCAAGCCAUGUUGUGGCAGUGUCUCACAUACAAAAUUGAGGAAGAUUGGCACAGAUGUUAGCUCAGGGACAAUUUUCCUCUCCAAAAAUAAAUAAAUAGAUAAAUAAAUAAAAUAACUUACCCAAGAUAAGGAUUCAUAAGGGACAGAGCCAGGAUUCCAUCUUGGGUCUUCUGACUUUAAAUUCACUGUUCUUUAUCCUUCCUGCCUCAGUAAAUUAUUUCUGUUCUGUAUUAUAUUGAUAAAGUUAGAAAUGCAGAAAUUGACCAGUGAAUUCUAUUGCACUUAGGAUGAUUUUAGAGCUUAGGAGACACACCUAGGAUUUUUCAAUGUUUUUGUUAAAUGUGAUGAUGCCUUAUGUAAACUAAAUGAACUGAAAUUAGAGCAGUGUAAGAGUAAAUAUGCCUAAACACAAAUGUUAAAUCAUUUACAAGGAGGUGAGGGGGGAAAUUAUUAAUUUAUAUAAAAUGUGUAUAAUUUUUACUGUAUAUUAAAAAUUUUAUUAAAUCUGUUACCUAAUAUGGAAAGAAAACUAAUUUAAGGUAGUUAAAGAUUCCCAUUCACUCAGAUUCAUGUUAAGGUUGACUCCUUAAGCAAGACAUUUACUUAUUUUGUCUUACCUUUCAAAAUGAGUAUUUUUUUCUUAGAAGAUCAUAAGAAUGAAAAAUUUGAUAUAUAUCAAAAGCCAAUAGAGAUCAUUAAGAGCCCACAGGCCAGAAUAUAAACCACCAGAUUUGGAACUAAGGCUGUUGUGUAAAGAUAAAGGACAAGAACUGAAUGGUUCUGUUUCCUGAUUUUUUUUUUUUAAUAACACUUUUUUUUUGGUUCUGCAUCUAGCCGUUAGGACUCUUUCCAUACCUAGUUAGGGAAUUAGAAACAGAGAUUUAAGGGAUAGAGGCACUAUGAUGUUUUCAGUGGACUAAGAAGUAAGAGUGGAGAAAUGGAAGGGGCCAUACCAGGGAGCAUUGCCACAUUUGGAUGGAGGAUAGGUAUGAAAUAAUGAAACCAGUUAUCUGCUCAGCACAGUAUUCAAUACUGAGAAUAACUGUCUGUAUUCAAAAGUUCUUAUGGGGCAAGCGCAGUGGCGUAGCGGUUAAGUUUGCAGGUUCUGCUUCUCAGUGGCCUGGGGUUCGCCAGUUCGGAUCCCAGGUGCAGACAUGGCACUGCUUGGCAAAACCCAUGCUGUGAUUGGUGUCCCAAGUAUAAAGUAGAGGAAGAUGAGCACAGAUGUUAGCUCAGGGACAGUCUUCCUCAGCAAAAAGAGGAGGAUUGGCAGUAGUUAGCUCAGGGCUAAUCUUCCCCCCAAAAAUUAAUUAAUUAAUUUUAAAAAGUAAGGAUAAAAGGAAAAGGGAUUAGCCUCUAGCAGUAGAUUCAGUGAAGAUUCAGAGAUCAGAGAUUCAGAGAUCAAUAUACACCUUCGGGGAAGAAAGAACUGGAAAGCAAUUUAUUAUAAAUGUCUCAGUUCUUCCAGGAACCUUGAAGAAUCGCUCAGUAGGAGAGGAUAAUCACUAUACUCAAAUGAUGAGCAAUUUUAUUUGUUCCACUUGCUGCUUACCUGGUAGCCACAGUAGCAUCAUUGCUUGAUCACUCUUCUGUCCACUCAUGAAUACUUCAUAUGCUUCUCUAGCUUAUAGGGACCCUUUUUUUAUAAAUAUAUAACUACCAUACUUCUAACACUAAUAAAAUUAAUAAUAAUAAUAUCUGGUUCCUGUUAAAAUUCCUGAUCAUUUCCAAAAGGUCCUCAUACUGCAUUUGGUUGUCAUGUCUCUUGAAAGAGACCUUUUAACUAGAAUGGUAGAGUGUUUUCAUUGGAGGGAAGUAGGAAAUACUGGAUAGAUCCUGAUUAUACAGACCUUGAUACUAGAACAGAGAAGACUUUACUUGGGAAACCACAGUUAUAUUCUUGAAUGUAUGAAUUUUAGGAAAUUUUAUUAAUUGACUAAAGAUGGGAAGUCCAGCUGAAAUGCCAUAGUAGGUAUAAGGUACUUAGACCUAGUUUUAAGGUAUGAAAUAAAGAAUGGCAAAGAAUUUGAUGAACUGAGAUCUCAGAGAAUCAGUUGGUUUUUAUUGACUAACUGAAUGCAAGGAAUGAUUGACACAGGAUCAAAAUUGAGUAUAAAGUGAGAAUAGCAAGGGAAAGUAUCCAUAAUUUGAGUGCAAAAGAAGAAUGUAUCUAAGAAGAAAAAACUGUUGAGAUAAACAGCAUAUUUAUUUAUGUUCUUAUCAAACCUUUUCUGUUCCAUUUCUUGCUGACAUUAUGGUAUAUUUGUAAUUUAUAUCUAGAGAGUAAAGUCGUCAAAAAUUAACUCAAAAAAUAUAAAUGUUUGGCUUAUAAGUAGUUUAACUUUGUAUGUAAGGAAGCUAUUGUUAGGGAAUCUAAUAAUAAAAUGAUGACAUGUUUGGGGAGCUUAUAUAUAUAGCCUUACUUUCCUGGAAUAAAUUGUCUUGAUUGAAAUCCACUUCACAUACAGUUUCUAAGUAAUCAUUCAUUCUUUCAUUUCUUCAUCAGAAAAAAGCAACGAAGUGUAGAACAGUACUUUUUAUUCACUUAAACUCAAAAAACUAGGUUUUUUGGAUGAUUAAACAAGUUUUUGGAUUAUAUCUAAAUAUUAUUUUAUUGCAUGCCUGUUAGCAACACUGGAUUUUAAAUGUGUCUUCUCUAG
rnacentral:lncRNA from 1 species